rnacentral:rRNA from 1 species
GACGAACGCUGGCGGCGUGCUUAACACAUGCAAGUCGAACGGAAAGGCCCUGCUUUUGUGGGGUGCUCGAGUGGCGAACGGGUGAGUAACACGUGAGUAACCUGCCCUUGACUUUGGGAUAACUUCAGGAAACUGGGGCUAAUACCGGAUAGGAGCUCCUGCUGCAUGGUGGGGGUUGGAAAGUUUCGGCGGUUGGGGAUGGACUCGCGGCUUAUCAGCUUGUUGGUGGGGUAGUGGCUUACCAAGGCUUUGGCGGGUAGCCGGCCUGAGAGGGUGACCGGCCACAUUGGGACUGAGAUACGGCCCAGACUUCUACGGGAGGCAGCAGUGGGGAAUAUUGCACAAUGGGCGGAAGCCUGAUGCAGCAACGCCGCGUGCGGGAUGACGGCCUUCGGGUUGUAAACCGCUUUCGCCUGUGACGAAGCGUGAGUGACGGUAAUGGGUAAAGAAGCACCGGCUAACUACGUG